rnacentral:rRNA from 1 species
GACGAACGCUGGCGGCGUGCUUAACACAUGCAAGUCGAACGGAAAGGCCUCUUUCGGGGGGUACUCGAGUGGCGAACGGGUGAGUAACACGUGAGUAACCUGCCCUUGACUUUGGGAUAACUUCAGGAAACUGGGGCUAAUACCGGAUAGGAGCUCCUGCUGCAUGGUGGGGGUUGGAAAGUUUCGGCGGUUGGGGAUGAACUCGCGGCUUAUCAGCUUGUUGGUGGGGUAGUGGCUUACCAAGGCUUUGACGGGUAGCCGGCCUGAGAGGGUGACCGGCCACAUUGGGACUGAGAUACGGCCCAGACUCCUACGGGAGGCAGCAGUGGGGAAUAUUGCACAAUGGGUGGAAGCCUGAUGCAGCAACGCCGUGUGCGGGAUGACGGCCUUCGGGUUGUAAACCGCUUUCGCUCAUGACGAAGCUUUGUGUGACGGUAGUGGGUAAAGAAGCACCGGCUAACUACGUG